ensembl:lncRNA
GGAAAAUAGAAGGAGGGUGUAAUUUGAUUGGCUUAUAUGCUCAAAUAUAAAUAACAUUUAACCAGAAUCGCAGACUGUACCUUUAAUAGAGUUAUCCACAUAUUGUUUGUUUUGUGUAUAUGAAUGGGUGGGAGCAAAGGGUGAGUUUUGGAUUACUAAUUGGUGUGUAUUUGCAUCAGUUCUUUUUUUUUUUUUACAACAUAUCACUGUUAAUUUCACGUUCCAUCUUACAAAGCGUAUCACAUUAUCUUAUAUUUUUAUGUCUACUGGGAAGAAUACAUUAGUGCAGAAUCUUAUUUUGCUUUUUUUAUCAACAGAUAAUACAUUUGUGAUGUUUUUAAUGACACUUCCAAAUGUUUUACGUAUUGGGUGAUAGGGAUUAUACAUGUAUUCCUUUCAUUUGAUUAUUUAACCGUUGAAUAGUAGAGGGCCUGACAGAACAACUUACCCUUCUUUGUGAGUCAUUGUGUACUUUACAUUUAGUCAUUUAGCAGACGCUUUUAUCCAAAGCGACUUACAUAUGUGUGACUUACAAUGUAUACACAUUUUACAUUUACACCGAUGGCACACUGCACAUCAGGAGCAAUUAGGGGUUCAGUGUCUUGCUCAAGGACGCUUCGACAGGGAAUCGAACUAGCAACCUUCUGAUUACUAAACGACUUCUCUACCUACUGUACCACUGUCGCCGGUAAACAUUCUAAAUGCAUACAGCAAGGGAAGGAAAUGGAGGAAAAGAAGUGUUAAGUUUCAUAGCUAGUCUACCAUUAGCACCACUUUUCCAUAGUGGGUAUUAAAUGAGCAGUACAGGUGUACAAAACAGUUUGUGGCAGGGAUAUAAUAUUUCUUACUUACAAUGUAUAAAGUAUGUAACUUUUAGCUACAAAGCCUACAUUAGGUAAUUAUUGGAUCAAUAUUUACCUAAGAAUGGAUUGUGUUUCUGUAUGCAGUCAUUUGUAUCGUGUAUUUGAGUGUUUUUUAAAAGGUAUUCAUAUAUCUCGGGCAUGGUACUGUUAGGAAAUGAUGAUAUCUAUCUAUAAGUGUCUUUCCUAUUCUCAUGGUGACAGUCUCUGUGCACACUGGGUGUGAAAAUGCACCUUGAACCGUUCAUAGGGGCCUGCACCAGUCCUUUAUGUUUGCUUUUCGGGUGUGUACAAGGUGUCUUGUUUGAUGAAAGCUGAGGACUGGGUGGGUAGUUCAGGGGAAUUGUGAGAAGCACAAAGCCACCGAGGCAGAAAAGACUCCCACGGGUCAGGUCGUAUUUCACAACCUGACUAGUGGUGCCAUUGUUUUGGAUUCACUGUCCUUGCAUUGUAUUGUGCACUUAUAUUUUGCCCUUUACUUUCAUUUAGUGUAUCAAAAAUGGUCGUUAUUUUAUGCAUGUAAGAAAACUAAA